rnacentral:lncRNA from 1 species
GAGAGACCAUCAACACCGUGCAGGCCGGUCUGUGCUUCACAGGGCUGGCUCCUGCCUUCCUCCUUUGUGAACUCAGGGAUUCAUGGAGCUAAGCCAUCAACACCUGGCUGAGAAGUAGGGCCUCUCCACCUUCCUCCCACUCUGCUCACAAAUGGCCCUGAGGAGUGUCAGAGAUCAAAGGGGCCAGCGCCCUGGCCUUCUGCUGCUCAGCCCCAUAACUGCCCUCAGAGGACGGGAAUUCACACCUGCUGGUGGUGGAGGGGGCCCAAGGUGUGGAGGACUGUGUUGGCUGCGGCAUCAUCUGCAAAGGCCUUGGAGAAGGUUGAACAGAUGUCACUGAAGUCACAUCCCUCCUUCCUUCACUGACAGUUCCCUCCGUGGCUGACACUUAGUGCUGGGUGUCUCCUCCCACUGCCAGGAGGUACAAGCUGCCUGCAGGCUUCCACCAGAGGCAGCUGCUGACAGACAGAUGCUCACACUGCCAAGGGCAGAGAUGCUGCUCCUCUGCCAGCUGCCCCAUCUUGUCUCUCUGCCUGCCCAGGCUCUGGUGCUCACAGUUGAACUUGACAGGUUCUUUUCCAGGCUCCUCAUAAGACUUUUUCCAUCCAAUAUUCAGGCCCCCUUUCCUCCAGGAGCAACCACAGGACCCGGCCACGAGCUCAGCUCUGUUUCUGCACCUGGCAGAAUGCCUGACGUACAGCAGUUGCUUGGGAAACAAAGUUUAGCUGGUGAGUGAACAAAAAGGUGCUGCAAGGCAGUGACCCUCCUGGAUCUCUACACAGCUGCCUGAAACAAAACCCUGCAUGCACCCUGCAAGAGAAUUCUGAAAACCUGGAGCCCACCACACACACACAGAAAUAAAACUCCUCUGCUUGUGCCCCUAAGAGAAUUCUUAAAACUAGGAAGCACCCCCAUUUUGAAAUAAAACUCUGCUUCACUCCCUAAGAGAAUUCUUAUAACUGGGAACCUAGGAACCCCCUCCUAGGUGGGUUCCUAGCGUAGCAUGUGGCUGAAUUCUACACUGUAAAUGUGCUGAGUGCGGCCGAAUUCUACACUGUAAAUGUGCUGAGUGCGGCCGAAUUCUACACUGUAAAUGUGCUGAGUGUGGCCGAAUUCUACACUAUAAAUGUGUUACAUGUGUCUGAAUUUUAUCCUUUGAAAUGGUUAAUGUUAUGUUUCUUUAAUUUCACCUCAAUAAAAAAUUCAUUUAAAAAAAUA